CCUACGGGAGGCAGCAGUAGGGAAUAUUGCUCAAUGGGGGAAACCCUGAAGCAGCAACGCCGCGUGGAGGAUGAAGGUUUUCGGAUUGUAAACUCCUUUUGUUAGAGAAGAUAAUGACGGUAUCUAACGAAUAAGCACCGGCUAACUCCGUGCCAGCAGCCGCGGUAAUACGGAGGGUGCAAGCUUUACCCGGAAUCCCUGGGCGUAAAGAGCGCGUAGGCGGGAUAGCAAGUCAGAUGUGAAAUCCUAUGGCUUAACCAUAGAACUGCAUUUGAAACUGUGAUUCUAGAGUAUGGGAGAGGUAGGUGGAAUUCUUGGUGUAGGGGUAAAAUCCGUAGAGAUCAAGAGGAAUACUCAUUGCGAAGGCGACCUGCUGGAACAUAACUGACGCUGAUGCGCGAAAGCGUGGGGAGCAAACAGGAUUAGAUACCCGGGUAGUC
rnacentral:rRNA from 1 species